UACGGGGGGGGUAAGCGUUGUUCGGAAUUACUGGGCGUAAAGGGCUCGUAGGCGGCCAACUAAGUCAGACGUGAAAUCCCUCAGCUUAACUGGGGAACUGCGUCUGAUACUGGAUGGCUUGGAUUCGGGAGAGGAAUGCGGAAUUCCAGGUGUAGCGGUGAAAUGCGUAGAUAUCUGGAGGAACACCGGUGGCGAAGGCGGCAUUCUGGACCGACACUGACGCUGAUGUGCGAAAGCUAGGGGAGCAAACGGG
rnacentral:rRNA from 1 species